rnacentral:rRNA from 1 species
AUUGAACGCUGGCGGCAGGCCUAACACAUGCAAGUCGAACGGUAACAGGAAGAAGCUUGCUUCUUUGCUGACGAGUGGCGGACGGGUGAGUAAUGUCUGGGAAACUGCCUGAUGGAGGGGGAUAACUACUGGAAACGGUGCCUAAUACCGCAUAACUUCGCAAGACCAAAGAGGGGGACUUUCGGGCCUCUUGCCUUCGGCUGUGCCCAGAUGGGAUUAGCUAGUAGGUGGGGUAACGGCUCACCUAGGCGACGAUCCCUAGCUGGUCUGAGAGGAUGACCAGCCACACUGGAACUGAGACACGGUCCAGACUCCUACGGGAGGCAGCAGUGGGGAAUAUUGCACAAUGGGCGCAAGCCUGAUGCAGCCAUGCCGCGUGUAUGAAGAAGGCCUUCGGGUUGUAAAGUACUUUCAGCGGGGAGGAGGGGAGUAAAGUUAAUACCUUUACUCAUUGACGUUACCCGCAGAAGAAGCACCGGCUAACUCCGUG